rnacentral:tRNA from 1 species
GCCGCCUGGCAGUAAGAGGACUCUAACCCCUGUAAACGAGGCUACAACUCGCCGCCUAACUCUCGGCCACCCUACC